CGCACAUUGCGCCCGCCAGCACUCUGGCGGGCAUGCCUGUCCGAGCGUCAUUUCUACCCUCGGGCCCCUCAGGGGGCCCGGUUAUGGGGGUCCGGCCCGGGCCGCCCCCGAAAUGCAGUGGCGACCCCGCCGCGUCCUCCCCUGCGCAGUAGCACAUCUCGCACCGGAGCGCGGAGGCGGUCACGCCGUGAAACGCCCAACUCAACAGUUGACCUCGGAUCAGGUAGGAGUACCCGCUGAACUUAA
rnacentral:misc_RNA from 1 species